UACGUAGGGGGCAAGCGUUGUCCGGAAUCAUUGGGCGUAAAGAGCUUGUAGGCGGUUUGUCGCGUCUGCUGUGAAAUUUCGGGGCUCAACCCCGGACUUGCAGUGGGUACGGGCAGACUAGAGUGUGGUAGGGGAGACUGGAAUUCCUGGUGUAGCGGUGAAAUGCGCAGAUAUCAGGAGGAACACCGAUGGCGAAGGCAGGUCUCUGGGCCACUACUGACGCUGAGGAGCGAAAGCAUGGGGAGCGAACAGG
rnacentral:rRNA from 1 species